UACGUAGGGUGCGAGCGUUAACCGGAAUUACUGGGCGUAAAGCGUGCGCAGGCGGUUCGUUGUGUCGGCGGUGAAAGCCCCGGGCUUAACCUGGGAAUGGCCGUUGAAACUGGCGAACUGGAGUGUGGCAGAGGGGGGUGGAAUUCCGCGUGUAGCAGUGAAAUGCGUAGAGAUGCGGAGGAACACCGAUGGCGAAGGCAGCCCCCUGGGCUAACACUGACGCUCAGGCACGAAAGCGUGGGGAGCAAACAGG
rnacentral:rRNA from 1 species